CGUAGGGUGCGAGCGUUAAUCGGAAUUACUGGGCGUAAAGCGUGCGCAGGCGGUUUUGUAAGACAGAUGUGAAAUCCCCGGGCUCAACCUGGGACCUGCAUUUGUGACUGCAAGGCUAGAGUACGGUAGAGGGGGAUGGAAUUCCGCGUGUAGCAGUGAAAUGCGUAGAUAUGCGGUGGAACACCGAUGGCGAAGGCAAUCCCCCUGGACCUGUACUGACGCUCAUGCACGAAAGCGUGGGGAGCAAACAGGAUUAGAUACCCUGGUAGUCCACGCCCUAAACGAUGUCAACUGGUUGUUGGGUCUUUACUGACUCAGUAACGAAGCUAACGCGUGAAGUUGACCGCCUGGGGAGUACGGCCGCAAGGUUG
rnacentral:rRNA from 1 species